rnacentral:rRNA from 1 species
UACGUAGGGUGCGAGCGUUGUCCGGAAUUAUUGGGCGUAAAGGGCUCGUAGGCGGUUUGUCGCGUCGGGAGUGAAAACCCAGGGCUUAACCCUGGGCUGGCUUCCGAUACGGGCAGACUAGAGGUAUGCAGGGGAGAACGGAAUUCCUGGUGUAGCGGUGAAAUGCGCAGAUAUCAGGAGGAACACCGAUGGCGAAGGCAGGUCUCUGGGCCGAUACUGACGCUGAGGAGCGAAAGCGUGGGGAGCGAACAGG